rnacentral:rRNA from 1 species
CCUACGGGUGGCAGCAGUGAGGAAUAUUGGUCAAUGGACGAAAGUCUGAACCAGCCAAGUCGCGUGAAGGAUGACUGCCCUAUGAGUUGUAAACUUCUUUUAUAAAGGAGUAAAACGAGGUACGUGUGUCCUUCUGAAAGUACUUUACGAAUAAGGAUCGGCUAACUCCGUGCCAGCAGCCGCGGUAAUACGGAGGAUCCGAGCGUUAUCCGGAUUUAUUGGGUUUAAAGGGAGCGUAGAUGGGUUGUUAAGUCAGUUGUGAAAGUUUGCGGCUCAACCGUAAAAUUGCAAUUGAUACUGGCAGUCUUGAGUACAGUUGAGGUAGGCGGAAUUCGUGGUGUAGCGGUGAAAUGCUUAGAUAUCACGAAGAACUCCGAUUGCGAAGGCAGCCUACUAAACUGUGACUGACAUUGAUGCUCGAAAGUGUGGGUAUCAAACAGGAUUAGAUACCCGAGUAGUC